AUAUUGCACAAUGGAGGGAACUCUGAUGCAGCAACGCCGCUUGAGUGAAGAAGGUNUUNNGAUCGNANAACUAUGUCUUUUGGNNNNNAAAAAUGACGGUACCCACUGAGGACACCCUGACUAACUACGCGCCAUCAGCCGCGGUAAUACGUAGGGGGCGAGUGUUGUCCGGAAUUACUGGGCGUAAAGGGUACGUAGGCGCCUAUAUAAGUCAGGUGUGAAAUACCAGGGCUUAACACUGGAAUUGCAUUUGAAACUGUGUAGCUUGAGUGCAGGAGAGGAAAGUGGAAUUCCUAGUGUAGCGGUGAAAUGCGUAGAUAUUAGGAGGAAUACCAGUGGCGAAGGCGACUUUCUGGACUUAAACUGACGCUGAGGAACGAAAGCAUGGGGAGCAAACA
rnacentral:rRNA from 1 species